UGCACUUUGCAAACUCCUGACUCUGAGGAUAGCGAAAACACAGAUUAAAAUAGCGUUUUUAUAAAGUAUACAACAACCAGUGGAGGAAUGAAAAACAUGAUUUGGAACACACUGGGGGCUACUGUAAGGUAAUGAUGUCGGUUUAAAAUGUGUUUUGGAGGUGACAGGUUCCC